CACCAGCUCAAGGCGGUUUUUGAUCUUCUUGGCAGUGACUUUAUGCCAUCGUCCAUCGCACAUAUGGCCUGGGCUCCCAGCAUCGUAGACCGCAGUGAAUCGGCCGGCGCCAUUAUCCACAUGGAACAUAAGCUGGAAAGGAAUCUGGCGCACAGUGGAGCUUUAAUCAUUGGAUAACCAAAUGAAUGAGCACACAAUAGGACUGACUGAAUCAAGGGCUCUCAAAACCAGGUCUCGUGUGGCAAGAUACAUCAGGAGAGCAUUUGAUGAAAAUGUCCGGAACUUGAACAUGACUGUGGAGAUGUUGGGGUACCACCGGAUGGGACGGCUCACCAACGCAUACCCUUCUCCAUCAAACUGAAUAGUCCCUUCACUGUCUUCCACUUGCGGGCUGAAAAGAGACAUUUCACACUAGUUAGACCUCUUCAGUUUGUCAUCCUUCAAUGAACCAUAUUAUUUCCUAGGACUGGAUGAUAAGCUGUUGUGGGACACAAACUAUCUCAAACGUGGCAUGGAUCUCUCUCACCCCCACCUCCACAGGCCAGUAUUAGAACCACAACCUCUUACCUGGACUUUCAUGGGCUGAAUCUAGUACAUCACUUCCCAUCUACAAGGCAUAGUAGAACAUAUACUCUCAAAAUAAUCACCAUCCAACAGGUUCUCCUUGGACAAAUUACAUUCAGAUAACGAAAGAAACCUGUGUUUUCACUCUGUCUCUUUAAUUUGUGUUUAUUAUUAGUAUGUGACUCUAAGAGGCUGUUUGGAUAUUAGGGGUCCCUACUUAUAUAGCAGACAUAUAUUCAAGGUCUAGGCUAGCCCAUUUAAUAGAUUGCAGUAAACAUUUAUGGGCUAAAGGAGAUUUUCAUGGAACAAAAGAAUUCAUAGAGAACGUAUGUUCAAUAUUCAUUUAAUAAUUAGUGAUGGAGAAAAAUCUUAUAAAUAAAACAUUUGAAAAGUA